UACGUAGGUGGCAAGCGUUGUUCGGAAUUAUUGGGCGUAAAGAGCUCGUAGGCGGUCUGUCGCGUCUGCUGUGAAAACUCAGGGCUUAACCCUGAGCUUGCAGUGGGUACGGGCAGACUAGAGUGCGGUAGGGGAGACUGGAAUUCCUGGUGUAGCGGUGAAAUGCGCAGAUAUCAGGAGGAACACCGGUGGCGAAGGCGGGUCUCUGGGCCGUAACUGACGCUGAGGAGCGAAAGCAUGGGGAGCGAACAGG
rnacentral:rRNA from 1 species